rnacentral:lncRNA from 1 species
CCCGAAUGUCAUUUACCACAAUACUGGCACUCCGUUCUGUCUCGACGAUCGUUUCCAACACUGGCGACCGAAGUGACUCGUGUACUAACAGGGGGUCGGUCACGAUCUCGUCUAGAAAAACCCGAAGUGUCUCUAGACCGGCCUAAGUCAUCUCUAAAUUUCUUCGAUGACUGUUGGAAGGGCUUUCCCGAAGAUCUCUUACGAAAC